CCUACGGGCGGCAGCAGUGGGGAAUAUUGCACAAUGGGCGCAAGCCUGAUGCAGCCAUGCCGCGUGUGUGAAGAAGGCCUUCGGGUUGUAAAGCACUUUCAGCGGGGAGGAAGGCGGUGAGGUUAAUAACCUCAUCGAUCGACGUUACCCGCAGAAGAAGCACCGGCUAACUCCGUGCCAGCAGCCGCGGUAAUACGGAGGGUGCAAGCGUUAAUCGGAAUUACUGGGCGUAAAGCGCACGCAGGCGGUCUGUCAAGUCGGAUGUGAAAUCCCCGGGCUCAACCUGGGAACUGCAUUCGAAACUGGCAGGCUAGAGUCUUGUAGAGGGGGGUAGAAUUCCAGGUGUAGCGGUGAAAUGCGUAGAGAUCUGGAGGAAUACCGGUGGCGAAGGCGGCCCCCUGGACAAAGACUGACGCUCAGGUGCGAAAGCGUGGGGAGCAAACAGGAUUAGAUACCCGUGUAGUC
rnacentral:rRNA from 1 species